AGGGAAUCUUCCACAAUGGACGGAAGUCUGAUGGAGCAACGCCGCGUGAGUGAUGAAGGUUUUCGGAUCGUAAAACUCUGUUGUAAGGGAAGAACCAGUACGUCAGGCAAUGGACGUACCUUGACGGUACCUUAUUAGAAAGCCACGGCUAACUACGUGCCAGCAGCCGCGGUAAUACGUAGGUGGCAAGCGUUGUCCGGAAUUAUUGGGCGUAAAGCGCGCGCAGGUGGUUUCUUAAGUCUGAUGUGAAAGCCCACGGCUUAACCGGGGAGGGUAAUUGGAAACUGGGAGACUUGAGUGAAGAGGAGAAAAGUGGAAUUCAAAGUGUAGCGGUAAAAGGCGUAGAGAUUGGGAGGAACACCAGGGGCGAAGGGAACUUUCUGGUCUGCAAUUGCGGCUGAGGGGCGAAGGCAUGGGAGCAAACA
rnacentral:rRNA from 1 species